rnacentral:rRNA from 1 species
CGCGGCCUAUCAGCUUGUUGGUGGGGUGAUGGCCUACCAAGGCGACGACGGGUAGCCGGCCUGAGAGGGUGAUCGGCCACAUUGGGACUGAGAUACGGCCCAGACUCCUACGGGAGGCAGCAGUGGGGAAUAUUGCACAAUGGGCGGAAGCCUGAUGCAGCGACGCCGCGUGAGGGAUGACGGCCUUCGGGUUGUAAACCUCUUUCAGCAGGGACGAAGCGUAAGUGACGGUACCUGCAGAAGAAGCACCGGCUAACUACGUGCCAGCAGCCGCGGUAAUACGUAGGGUGCGAGCGUUGUCCGGAAUUACUGGGCGUAAAGAGCUCGUAGGCGGUUUGUCGCGUCGUCUGUGAAAUCCUAGGGCUUAACCCUGGACGUGCAGGCGAUACGGGCUGACUUGGGUACUACAGGGGAGACUGGAAUUUCUGGUGUAGCGGUGGAAUGCACAGAUAUCAGGAAGAACACCGAUGGCGAAGGCAGGUUACUGGGCAGUUACUGACGCUGAGGAGCGAAAGCAUGGGUAGCGAACAGGGUUAGAUACCCUGGUAGUCCAUGCCGUAAACGGUGGGCGCUAGGUGUGAGGGUCUUUCUACGACUUUCGUGCCGUAGCUAACGCAUUAAGCGCCCCGCCUGGGGAGUACGG